ACGGCGUUGUUUACGGCUAUUUGGAUGAUCGUCCGCGGUUUUACGCUUUCGUCCUUUUGCUGGCAGUGUUGGUGGAAACAAGGCGACACGACCAUGUUUUAUUGGACCAUCUCGAUCGUCUUCCAGAUACCUUUUUUGCCCUUUGGUUGGCAACGUCGAUGGAAAUAAUUGUGGGCGCGGUUGCUUUGGCACUUGUUCUAUUUCAUCUUCGUCAGUUCUUUUGCGUUUGCGAAACUUUUCCAGCUCUUGUUGUACUCCUAAUGGUGCCGGUUGCAACACGGUUUCAUCGGAGAAUUGCACAGGGUUUUCGUCAGGCGCUCUUCCAUAAUGCGUCUAGGAACAAUAUAGUACUCAUCCAUUUCCAAUCAACGAUGUUAGGACCCCAGCAAUAACCGGUAAGAUAGCCCCAAUAAAUCCUCCUUGUUGUAAGAUUAUUCGCUUUUGUUUGAGAGGAUAGCGUCGCAGUGCAAUGAGCUUUAAUGCUUUGCGAUGGCGUUUACAUUUAUCCAUUUGGGAUGGUGUCAAUGCGACAGUAUUUUUUACAAUGUUGACGGCGAUUUCUUCCAAAGCUUUCAUCUGCGGUUUACUCAUGUAACUCAUCAGAACGCGUCGUUGUCGCGGUUUUAAAUUCUGUAGGGUGAUGAUAAAGGGUGCUAACGAUUUUACGCGUUCCGACAUUUUGGCAGUUGUGACGAAUUUCGAUCCAAAUAAAUCCUCAUGUGCUCGUUGGGAAAGAUAUGGGAGCGAAUACGUAAGUAUUCUGGGCACGUUGGUCGCAAGUCCAAAAUUAAAGUAUUCGCUGCUAUAAUCAUUACGGAAGGAAUAGGAAAAGUCCUACAAAGUGAUUCCUGGAAUCAGACAUUACGUAAUAUGACGCUAUAACUCACAUCCUGCGUUCCGUCUCUUCGACAAAGACCGCAGAUCCCGGAAUACCAUGUGGAGGGUACCCGAUGUCCGCAAUAACGACCAUUCCGUAUUUCGGGAGUUCUUCGACACGAAAAAGGGUGGAUCUACGGUGCUUAAAUACUUGCAAAUAGUGGGAAGCACUGCUGGCCUUUGAUAGCAAUGGCACCCUGGGCGUUUUGGAAUCCAAACUUUACAGAGCCUGGUUUUCACACAUUAAAACGUUUUGUAUCCAGAAACUGGAAUUGUAGUGUUUGCAAUUUCUUUUGUCACAUGUACCGACGAAACAUUGUUUGAUAUUGUGGUUUUUUAUUUACAAAAUGAUGCCAUGAUAAACGGAGUUGUUUAUGACGACAUAUAUUAAGUAAAGCUGGUAAAUCAAAUGCAAUAAAGCUUUAAAUAAUGCAAUUAAAUAUCCACACAAACAGAACGAAAUCUGACGCAAGAUCGGAAUUCUGGGUGAAACGAAAGUAAACCAAACAAACAUUUACUUCUUUCCCCUUACCCGUUAUUCCGUUAGAGCUUGAAAGUAAUUGGCUAUCAAUCCUGGUUAAUCCAUGGAAUAGUACAACAAUAUCAUAUCAACACCCGGUAAACAAAUCAGUAGCAGUUGCAAUGGUUCAAAAAAAGAUUGGAUAGUAUACAAUGGCCGAAAACAGUUUUCUUCCGUAACUUUCAGAUAGAAUGCACACAUGUUUGUAAUUACCAACUAGAUUUUCAUA